rnacentral:rRNA from 1 species
AGGGUUUGAUUCUGGCUCAGAUUGAACGCUGGCGGCAGGCCUAACACAUGCAAGUCGAGCGGUAGAGAGAAGCUUGCUUCUCUUGAGAGCGGCGGACGGGUGAGUAAUGCCUAGGAAUCUGCCUGGUAGUGGGGGAUAACGCUCGGAAACGGGCGCUAAUACCGCAUACGUCCUACGGGAGAAAGCAGGGGACCUUCGGGCCUUGCGCUAUCAGAUGAGCCUAGGUCGGAUUAGCUAGUUGGUGAGGUAAUGGCUCACCAAGGCGACGAUCCGUAACUGGUCUGAGAGGAUGAUCAGUCACACUGGAACUGAGACACGGUCCAGACUCCUACGGGAGGCAGCAGUGGGGAAUAUUGGACAAUGGGCGAAAGCCUGAUCCAGCCAUGCCGCGUGUGUGAAGAAGGUCUUCGGAUUGUAAAGCACUUUAAGUUGGGAGGAAGGGCAGUUACCUAAUACGUAAUUGUUUUGACGUUACCGACAGAAUAAGCACCGGCUAACUCUGUGCCAGCAGCCGCGGUAAUACAGAGGGUGCAAGCGUUAAUCGGAAUUACUGGGCGUAAAGCGCGCGUAGGUGGUUUGUUAAGUUGGAUGUGAAAUCCCCGGGCUCAACCUGGGAACUGCAUUCAAAACUGACAAGCUAGAGUAUGGUAGAGGGUGGUGGAAUUUCCUGUGUAGCGGUGAAAUGCGUAGAUAUAGGAAGGAACACCAGUGGCGAAGGCGACCACCUGGACUGAUACUGACACUGAGGUGCGAAAGCGUGGGGAGCAAACAGGAUUAGAUACCCUGGUAGUCCACGCCGUAAACGAUGUCAACUAGCCGUUGGGAGCCUUGAGCUCUUAGUGGCGCAGCUAACGCAUUAAGUUGACCGCCUGGGGAGUACGGCCGCAAGGUUAAAACUCAAAUGAAUUGACGGGGGCCCGCACAAGCGGUGGAGCAUGUGGUUUAAUUC